UCUAUCCCUCCCUUCCUUCCUUUUUCUUUCUCUCACUACAUUAUAAGCUCCUUUGAAGGCACAAUCAAGUCAGUCAUGUUUAUCAUAGUAUCUUAGUACCUAACAGAGUGCCUGGCAUAUAGAUAUUUAAUAAAUAUUGAAUGAAUGAAUGAGUGCAUCCACUGAAAGAAUUCAGCUAAUCUCUGUGAAAAGCCUCAUAUACAUGCAGGAUGGUGCUAGGCCCUGAGAGUGGUGGUGGAAAAGGAAAUGGACCAAUGAUGAAAUAAUUGUUCUAUGUUACUAAAAGUUGAUGCCCUUCCUAUCUAGCCAGCAUUCCACCUGGGGACUUGGCUUCUAUAAAUCAGAAGUGCCAGACAUGUGUUACCUUAUACCACAUUCUAGCUGCAUGAGCUUAGGAAAAUCAUUGAAAUCUCCUGGGGCUUCAUGUCCUUGUUUCUAAAAUAAAAUAAUGUUUACUUGUCCUAUCUACCAGGAUUGCUAUGAGGAUCAAUCCAUUUAAUGUCUAUGAACCACUCAGCAAACUUAAGUUAUUAGGUUUUUUUGGCCUAAACAGGAGAUGGUACAUACAAAACCACUAAUCCUUAUAAGAGUAAAAUGAUUAUGACACAAGAGAAGUUCAGAUAAGAUGCUAUGCAUGUGGUUCACACUGCAAUCAUAGUAAUUAGAAUAUUUCUGCUAACUCAGUAUUACUGUCUUCAAUUUUAUAUAGUAGGAAACUUAUUCAGAAAAGCCCACGGUCAUGCAGCUAAUUCUCCUUAGCAGUGCCUAGAAAACACUGGCCCCAGUUCCAGAGUAAUAUUUUUAUGAGUGUGUACAUUGGAUAGCUAGAUGUGCUCUUUCAUUGAAUUCAGUGUCUAUUCCAAAUUCAGUUCAGUUGAUUAGCAUAGAAAUACAUUAGCCAAAAGAUAGUGAUGUUGUUGUUAUUUUUCUACCAUUUUAUUUUUUGAUAUCCUUCUCGGUUCACACUUAGAUCACACAUAAAACAUGUAUCUUUUCUGCAUAUUCUUAAAGGAUCCCAAGAGGAUCUUCAGACAUAAAUCAGGAGAGGGAUAAGCCUGUGUCCAUUAAAUGAUAAAAUAAUAUUCAAAUUACAGAAAUUUCCCUUGCAUCAUUGGUUCAAGGGAAAAAAGAAUUGGAGUUCUUGUUCAAAUGAAGAGGCAGUCAGUUUCAAAUAAGCGUCAGCUAGAGGACUGUAGUUUGUCUUCAUCUCCCACUCAGGACAUUCUGUCAGAAUAAAGAUGUCAUGUUACCCCAGGAGAAAUGUAUCCUUGGAGAAGGACAGUGCAGGUUAAGCAUGUCCAUCAACAUGAGCUUAGCACAUUACCAACAAGUCGUUUGUUUUCUUACUCUGCAACAAGUUACCCUUGUGAACUGGAUUGGGUUCUCUAUGCAGAAUUCCAUAUCUCUGCUGCUGUGGGUGUUGGAGCCGGAAGGAAUAGGGCAUGUCCCUGCAAAGCCUGUUGGCUGCUUUCUUGUGCCACUCAAGUUGAAAAAGGCACAUUACAUGUGUCCCUUUGGGGUCUGGGAAGUGGGUUCCAGGAAACGACAGUGAAAACCAAAUCAGCACUUCUUCCAGGUUUUAUCAUGAAUUACAAUACGCUUCAAACAUCAACCUAACCAACCCAGCUUCCCAGCUAAUCCCAAAGGCAUUAACUCUUUCUGUUCAAGGGGGCUCAAACUCUGAGCUAGCAGAAGUGUGUAUUCAUUCUAAAACUGGAACAUAACAGGAUAAAAUAGACCAUUUGAGUUUUCCUUAAAGCUUGACUCUUCUUCGCUGUUUCAAAAUCUCUGCUUCUGACUCACCAUUUGUACUGAACCAAAAUGACCAGGACUCCAAAGGAUAAAACCACAUCAACACUUUACAGCCACAGUAAUAUCUCUGCCCUGCCAAGGUUCUAGGUUCAGGUUUUACCUAAAAGGCCUCAAGGACUUGAUACAUGUGAGUCCUGGACUCCUCUCUUAGGUAGACCUUGUAAUUAAGUCCACCUUGGUGCUUCUUGCCGGUUAGGCUGGUUUUGCAGACUAAUCUGGAGUCUUGCUUUUGACACCAGGGAACCUGCCUGUUCCUCCCUGCCUUGUCUGCUGUAGAGCACUGAUCAGUAAGCCACAAGUCGUGGAUUUGAUUCCUGAUGUAGAGACUUGCUAGUUGUGGCUGCAUAGGCAAGCCAGCUUAACCUCCUUGUGUCUCUAUGCCUUUGUUUUUUAAAUCUGCAAAAUGGGGUUUCAUUAGUUGCUUAUAUGGAUGCUACGAUAAUUAAAGAAAUAAUGAAUGCAGAAGUUGCCUUUUGAACAGCUGGUACAUGAGAUGGUCUCAAGCAAUCUUAAUUAUAGUUGGGUGUUUAUCUGUGCCUCUAAUAUCUAUCUCCUUACAGCUUUUGUAUCCUCCAGAUGCUUCCAAUGCAGGCUUCAGCUGCCUUACCCUUCUUCCUUGUUAUUUAUACUCCUUCAAGUGCACACACUGACCUUUGCAUUUGAUGCUUGGAAAAUAAUUUGUUUCAACAUUCUAUGUCUAUGUCAAUUAAAAUAAAUUUAACGCAUUUCUUAAGCCCUCCACAUUCAUUUCUACUGGAAAAACCCAAAUGCAAAUGAGACAUCUGGUUCUCAUGCACAGAUGGUCUGUGCAUUAUUUGUGUCUUUGUCAAAUCAAGCUAAUGUGAAACCCCAUGUCAUACAGUAGGUGUGUCCUCUAUUUCUUUGCUAGGGAUUAUAUAUGAUGAAUAAAAAUGACCAGGAUAUGAAGAAAAUUCUUUCUGAAGUCACACUGAUUUGUGUUUUGCUGUAAGUCAAAUCAUUUGAUUAUUCUGAUAAAAUAUUUGUCGAGUUUU